AACAUUGAUUGUUUUAAUUAUUAGUCAGUACUCCAACUUUAAGUGUUCUCUAGACCUGCUGUACAGCUGUCAUCUUGGGAUCUCCCUUUAUCAUCAUUUUAAGAACUCCCUCUACUUUGUUUUCUGAAACUCAUGUCCUCUCCUCUCUUGGUAACUCCCUUGUUUUGAUGGAGUACAUCCUUUGGGAGUUGCCUGUGAAUGGGUGAGCAGGUUUGGAGACUAUGAUUACCUAAAAUCUCUUUAUUCCAUCCUUAUACUUAAUUUGCAGCUUAACUAAGUUAGAAUUCUAGCUUGGAAAUAAUUCUUUCAGUAUUUUGAGGCCCUGUUUCAUGGUCUUCUAUCUUCCAAUGUGGCCAUUGAGAAAUCUGAUUCUAUUCUGAUUGUUGAUCCUCCAUGUAUGUAUUUUUCCUUUCUAGAUGUUCAUAGGAUCAUUUCUUUGCCCCAGGUGUCAUGAAUUUUUAAGAUAAUAUGCAUUAGUGUGGGUCUGUUUUUAUUCAUUUUACUAAGUACUCACCUUGUCCUUAGUCAAGAUAUUCAUGUUUUAAAGUUCUGGGAAGUUUUCUUGAUUUUUUUCUUGGAUGAGUUCUUCCUAUUUGUUUUCUCUUCCUGUGACUUUGAUUACAGCAUUUGCAUGUUAAAUUUCCUGGACUGGGUGCCAGUCUUCCCAAUGUAUUCCCCCCUGUUUCCAUUUAUUUGCUUUUGCUGUAUUUCUGAGGGUAUUUCUUUAACUUUAUCUUGCAAACCUUCUGUGAGGUUUAUUUUUAAAUUUGUGCUCUCAAGUUUACAUUUUUAAAGCUUCUUUUUUAGGUGUUCUCUAUAUGUUCCUUUUUAUCCUGGCAUUGUGUUUUUGUUUUAUAGAUAUACCAUCUCCUCUUAUCUUACUGAGAGUAUUGGUGACCUUUAUUAGAAAAAGUUUCCUUCUCUAAGCAGUUUCUUUUCUGUCAAGGUACUUUUUCCUGUUUUUUGUAGUCCCUGACUUUAAUAUUAGAUGCUUUCUCCAAAUGUCUGGUGCUCCUUGGUAACAGCUCAUGUGUGAGAGUAAGCUACAGAAAGCUGACUGAGCUUUCUGGGUGCCUGGUGGGGCUUGAGAUGCCAUCUUCAUUGCAGAUCGCUUUUUUUGGGCCAUUUCCUUGGGGAACUACCAUGUUAAUAUUUUUAGAAUUUUCUCUCAGGCUCAUAAGAUUCCCCAGCAACACUGAGCUUCUGCCUGGAGAACAUAUGCCUAGCUCCCAGCAUUCUGAGAGCCAAGCUGGGAGAGGAGGAUAGGGAAUCUCAACACUCUUUAAGCAUGGUUUCACUUUUUCAGUAUGGCCUUUCUUUUCUUUUUUUGUUUCUUUUCUUUUCUUGUUUCUUUUCUUUUCUUAUCUUUCUUUUCUUUUUCAGGGUCUCACUCUUCACCCAGGCUGCUGCGCAGUGGAGCAAUCUCAACUCACUGCAGCUUUGACCUCCCAGGCUCAAACAUGAUCCUCCCAACUCAGCCUCCCGAGUAGCUGGGACCACAGUUAUAUUUUUUAUAGAGACAAGGGUUUGCCAUGUUGCCCAGGCUAUUCUCUAAGCUCCUGAGCUCAAGCAAUCCGCCCUCCUCAACCUCCCAAAGUGCUAGGAUUACAGGCAUGCAUCACCAUGCCCGGCUCUCAGUGUGGUAUUUCUAAUGUCAACUGUGUACGUGCUGUUGGACUUCAACCAGAGACUCUCUAUUUCCCUGUCUCCAGAAAAUAAACUUCUGGUCUUUUGCUGAGAUUGGGAAAGGACGGUGUUCAGUUACACAGAGUAAGGAAGGGGACCUGGAGUUCUAACUGCUUCUUACAUAGACUUUAAGCUUGUCCCCCUAAUCUUAGCCUCAUCUUCCCAUUCAUUUCCAGAAUAGCUAUUGAGCCUUUUGAUGGUUCUGUCACAUAAGUCUGGUUGUUUCUCAAUUUUCCACACUGCAGGCUUAGGAGUCAGCUUUUCCAGACUUGUUCAUUCAGUUACCAAUCAGCUAUCACUUUUCAGCUUCAAGUUUUUGUUGCUCUUGUCUCUUCUUCCAAUCUCUUUAACUCCACUGGUUGAUUCCGUCUGGAAAUAUCUCUUUAUUUUCUUUUUAGAGGCUUACAUGAGGGAAUGAAGGUAUGUACACUCUCCUCUCUUUAACUGGAAGUCCAGGAGUAGUUCUUGGCUUUAAAAGAACUAACACUUCACUGUAUCUCACUUAGUUUGAAACAUGUGA
rnacentral:lncRNA from 10 species